rnacentral:rRNA from 1 species
UACGAAGGGUGCAAGCGUUAAUCAGAAUUACUGGGCGUAAAGCGCGCGUAGGUGGUUCAGCAAGUUGAAGGUGAAAUCCCCGGGCUCAACCUGGGAACUGCCUCCAAAACUACUGAGCUAGAGUACGGUAGAGGGUAGUGGAAUUUCCUGUGUAGCGGUGAAAUGCGUAGAUAUAGGAAGGAACACCAGUGGCGAAGGCGACUACCUGGACUGAUACUGACACUGAGGUGCGAAAGCGUGGGGAGCAAACAGG